rnacentral:tRNA from 1 species
UAUAUAAUAGUGUAUGAUGCACAUUGAGUUUUGAUCUCUUUAGUUAUGGUUUAAUUCCGUAUUAUAUAA